AGCAGCCGCGGUAAUUCCAGCUCCAAUAGCGUAUAUUAAAGUUGUUGCAGUUAAAAAGCUCGUAGUUGAAUUUCGGGAUUGACACAUCGGUCGUGCCUUAAGGGGUGUGAACUGGUGUAGUCAAUUUCUCACCUUCUGGAGAACCGCGAUGUCCUUAAUUGGGUGCCGCGAGGAACCAGGACCUUUACUUUGAAAAAAUUAGAGUGUUUAAAGCAGGCAUUUUUGCUUGAAUACAUUAGCAUGGAAUAAUAAAAUAGGACGGCAUGAUUCUAUUUUGUUGGUUUCUAGGAUCACCGUAAUGAUUAAUAGGGAUAGUUGGGGGCAUUAGUAUUCAAUUGUCAGAGGUGAAAUUCUUGGAUUUAUUGAAGACUAACUACUGCGAAAGCAUUUGCCAAGGAUGUUUUCAUUAAUCAAGAACGAAAGUUAGGGGAUCGAAGACGAUCAGAUACCGUCGUAGUCUUAACCAUAAACUAUGCCGACUAGGAAUCAGACGAUGCNAAUUUUUUAAUGACUCGUUUGG
rnacentral:misc_RNA from 1 species